CUUUACUGUAGCUUGGAAUUGAAUUUGGGUUUAUUUUGCGCAGAAUAGGUGGGAGGCUACGAUGCUAUAUUUGCGGAUAUAGAGAAGCCAACAGUGAGAUACCACUCUAAUUAAACUAGAAUUCUAAUCUUGAUGCCGUUAGCCGGCCAAGAGACAGUUUCAGGUAGGCAGUUUGACUGGGGCGGUCACCUCCUAAAAAGUAACGGAGGCGUGCAAAGGUUCCCUCAGGCUGGUCGGAAAUCAGUCGUAGAGUAUAAAGGUAUAAGGGAGCUUGACUGCAAGACUUACAAGUCAAGCAGAGACGAAAGUCGGCCUUAGUGAUCCGACAGUUCUGAGUGGAAAGGCUGUCGCUCAACGGAUAAAAGUUA
rnacentral:rRNA from 1 species